AGAGUUUGAUCCUGGCUCAGGACGAACGCUGGCGGCGUGCCUAACACAUGCAAGUCGAACGGGGUAAUUCCUUCGGGGGUUACUUAGUGGCGAACGGGUGAGUAACGCGUGAGAAACCUGCCUUUCAGUGGGGGACAACAGUUGGAAACGACUGCUAAUACCGCAUAAUGUCAUUUGGGGGCAUCCCUAAAUGACCAAAGCUUAAUGUGCUGAAAGAUGGUCUCGCGUCUGAUUAGCUAGUUGGUGAGGUAACGGCUCACCAAGGCGACGAUCAGUAGCCGGUCUGAGAGGAUGAACGGCCACAUUGGGACUGAGAUACGGCCCAGACUCCUACGGGAGGCAGCAGUGGGGAAUAUUGGGCAAUGGGGGAAACCCUGACCCAGCAACGCCGCGUGAGGGAAGAAGGCCUUCGGGUUGUAAACCUCUUUUACCAGGGACGAAGGAAAUGACGGUACCUGGAGAAAAAGCAACGGCUAACUACGUGCCAGCAGCCGCGGUAAUACGUAGGUUGCAAGCGUUGUCCGGAUUUACUGGGUGUAAAGGGCGUGUAGGCGGAGAUGCAAGUUGGGAGUGAAAUCCCGGGGCUCAACCCCGGAACUGCUUUCAAAACUGUAUCCCUUGAGUAUCGGAGAGGCGAGCGGAAUUCCUAGUGUAGCGGUGAAAUGCGUAGAUAUUAGGAGGAACACCAGUGGCGAAGGCGGCUUGCUGGACGACAACUGACGCUGAGGCGCGAAAGCGUGGGGAGCAAACAGGAUUAGAUACCCUGGUAGUCCACGCUGUAAACGAUGAAUACUAGGUGUGGGAGGACUGACCCCUUCCGUGCCGCAGUUAACACAAUAAGUAUUCCACCUGGGGAGUACGACCGCAAGGUUGAAACUCAAAGGAAUUGACGG
rnacentral:rRNA from 1 species